rnacentral:rRNA from 1 species
UGGGGAAUUUUGGACAAUGGGCGAAAGCCUGAUCCAGCAAUGCCGCGUGUGUGAAGAAGGCCUUCGGGUUGUAAAGCACUUUUGUCCGGAAAGAAAUCCUUGGCUCUAAUACAGUCGGGGGAUGACGGUACCGGAAGAAUAAGCACCGGCUAACUACGUGCCAGCAGCCGCGGUAAUACGUAGGGUGCAAGCGUUAAUCGGAAUUACUGGGCGUAAAGCGUGCGCAGGCGGUUUGCUAAGACCGAUGUGAAAUCCCCGGGCUCAACCUGGGAACUGCAUUGGUGACUGGCAGGCUAGAGUAUGGCAGAGGGGGGUAGAAUUCCACGUGUAGCAGUGAAAUGCGUAGAGAUGUGGAGGAAUACCGAUGGCGAAGGCAGCCCCCUGGGCCAAUACUGACGCUCAUGCACGAAAGCGUGGGGAGCAAACAGGAUUAGAUACCCUGGUAGUCCACGCCCUAAACGAUGUCAACUAGUUGUUGGGGAUUCAUUUCCUUAGUAACGUAGCUAACGCGUGAAGUUGACCGCCUGGGGAGUACGGUCGCAAGAUUAAAACUCAAAUGAAUUGACGGGGUCAUAGCAGUUUCCU